rnacentral:misc_RNA from 1 species
UGGCCAAGGAAGGUUAACUUUCAUCUGGUAUUCAUUGCACCUUUGCCAUGGUUCGGCUGGACAUACCAUGCAACAAUUUGACAAACCCAUGGAAGCUAAGUUGUCCAUCAGUAUGCCUUAUCCAGUCAUUGAGAACUGCAUGAACUGGAAUAGAGGGGCCAAGUCCAAGUUCAGAAGCAAGCUCCUCAAUGACGAUAGCCCUGUUUCCAUCCUUGUCAAAAAUUUCAUAUGCAGAACGGGCACGCUGUUCCCAGCGAUCAAGUGCCUCCAGCUGAUGGACACUCAAUGCAGCUGCACAAAAUUCUUCAAAAUCCAUUCUUCUGUAUUGAAGUGCAUUUAGCGAUGACAGAAUAUCGGGGAUGUGUGAAUCCUUCAUUGCAUCCGUCGCAUUUUUC